UUUUUCUUACUAGAUUAACCCCAGGACAGCCGUUUGCUGUAUCAGCAGGUUUAUUACCCACUAUGCCUCUCGGGCUGUCACUUCACUCUUGAGUUUUUACAGCCCCAGGUUUCAGAGGUCCUUUUGUGACUACAGAGGCAUCCUGUUCCACUUGGUGCCCAAUAUAAGACACCAAAUGGCUGGGUGGCAGAGAAGAAUCUGAUUUUUUUUUUUUUUUUUUUUUUUUUUUUUUUUUUUUUUGGUUUUUCUGGACAGGGUUUCUCUGUGUAGCCCUGGUUGUCCUGGAACUCACUCUGUAGACCAGGCUGGUCUCGAACUCAGAAAUCUGCCUGCCUCUCUGCCUCCCGAGCCUCCCGAGUGCCCGGCUGAAGAAUCAGAUUUUAUUUUAAUGUAGUCACGGGGAUUUUUAUCUAAUCAGGUGCACUGGAAUACUAUCCCAAAGGUUUCUGGUCCUGGGUUUGUUUGCAGAUUUCAAGGACAAAGGUGUUAGAUCCAACUGAGUGGAGGGACAGGAGGGACGACAUCAGCAUAAGCUUAUACACUCUUUUUUAGUAAAAUUUAGAAGGCCACUCCAGGCCGGGAGGCAAGUGAUGUGAGAAUCGGAGUUCAGACGUUUGCUUGAGUUAAGUGUGACAACAGUGAAUGCAGAGGCUCUGUAGGCUGUACAGCUUUGCAUUGGUUUGGUACCCAAAUCUCAUCCCUGUUUCUCUGUAUCUGAUCUAGCAAGGUCAUCUGAUCCCUGUACCUUAUAGUAUUCGCCCUCAAAAGAGGGGAAACAAUGCCUAUUUGCAUAUAGAUUUUGUUUUGGUUUUGAGACAGGAUCUCACUCUUGGUGCCCUGGCUGGCUUUGAAGUUCUUGACAAUCCACCUUCUGUUUUCUGGUGUUACAGAGUGGGACCGUCAGACUUAGCUUUCCACGUAGUUUUUAGGAGUGCGAACACAUCAGUGCAUUGAGUCCGUAGGAGGGCACUCGUGCAUGUGUUGUAGUCACACUAUGCUGCGGAUUUUAGUUUCCUCCCUACUGGCCGUUCUUCAGAAUGCUAACUCCACAUACAGCAGUGAUCCUCUUCAGCACUGCCUCCUGAAAUGACCUAGCUGGUUUCUUGGGCAGCAGUGUCCUUUGGAGAACCAGAUAAGGGGAAUCACAGGCACAUGCUGGCUUCCAGGUGCUCAUUACUGCCUCGCUUUAAUCUCCAAGGAGGGCGUCACCACCCAGUUGUUCUCGGUCGUCAAAUUACUGUAUUUGAUGAGAUGAUUGCCCAUCCAG